rnacentral:tRNA from 1 species
GGAAGGUAUAGCUCAGUGGUAGAGCACAUGCUUAGCAUGCUUGAGGUCCUGGGUUCAAUCCCCAGUACCUCCA